AACGAACGCUGGCGGCGUGCCUAACACAUGCAAGUCGAACGAGAAAGGGGCUUCGGCUCCGAGUAAAGUGGCGCACGGGUGAGUAACACGUGGGUAACCUGCCUCUAAGAUUGGGAUAACUCGUCGAAAGAUGAGCUAAUACCGAAUAAGACCACAGUUCCCGCGGGAACAGGGGUCAAAGGUAGCCUCUGCUUGCAAGCUAUCACUUAGAGUUGGGCCUGCGCACCAUUAGCUAGUUGGUAGGGUAACGGCCUACCAAGGCAAAGAUGGUUAGCUGGUCUGAGAGGGUGAUCGGCACCACUGGAACUGAGACACGGUCCAGACUCCUACGGGAGGCAGCAGUGGGGAAUAUUCCGCAAGGGGCGAAAGCCUGACGCAGCAACGCCGCGUGAGUGAUGAAGGCCUUCGGGUCGUAAAGCUCUGUCGGGAGGAAAGAAUGCCCCUGGGUUUAACCACCCCGGGAGGGACCGUUACUUUCAAAGGAAGCACGGCCAAAUUCUUG
rnacentral:rRNA from 1 species